CCUACGGGUGGCAGCAGUGAGGAAUAUUGGUCACUGGACGCGAGCCUGAACCAGCCAAGUAGCGUGAAGGAUGACUGCCCUACGGGUUGUAAACUUCUUUUAUAUGGGAAUAAAGUGUUCCACGUGUGGCUUUUUGUAUGUACUUUAUGAAUAAGGAUCGGCUAACUCCGUGCCAGCAGCCGCGGUAAUACGGAGGAUCCGAGCGUUAUCCGGAUUUAUUGGGUUUAAAGGGAGCGUAGAUGGGUUGUUAAGUCAGUUGUGAAAGUUUGCGGCUCAACCGUAAAAUUGCAAUUGAUACUGGCAGUCUUGAGUACAGUAGAGGUAGGCGGAAUUCGUGGUGUAGCGGUGAAAUGCUUAGAUAUCACGAAGAACUCCGAUUGCGAAGGCAGCUUACUAAACUGCAACUGACACUGAGGCUCGAAAGUGUGGGUAUCAAACAGGAUUAGAUACCCGAGUAGUC
rnacentral:rRNA from 1 species